rnacentral:rRNA from 1 species
GGUAUCAUGACCGUGCGAAGGUAGCAUAAUCAUUAGUCUCUUAAUUGGAGGCUGGAAUGAAUGGUUGGACGAGAAAUUAGCUGUCUUAGUUUUGAAAAUUGAAUUUAACUUUUAAGUGAGAGGGCUUAAAUGGGCUAGAGGGACGAUAAGACCCUAUAAAGUUUGUACAUUGAACUAAUUAAAGGUGAUUUGGGUUUAUAAAAUCUGCCAUUGGGGGAAGUGUUUAGUUGGGGCGAUUGGGAUAUAAGUUAUCUAACUGUUUCUUUGUUUGAAUCAAAAAUAUUUGAGUUUAUGAUCCUUUUUUAGGAUUAAAGAGUAAAUUACUUUAGGGAUAACAGCGUAAUUUUUUUUGAGAGUUCUUAUCGAUAAGAGAGUUUGCGACCUCGAUGUUGAAUUAAAAUUUC